AAAAAGAUAAGCUAAGAAUAAGCUGUUGGGCUCAUAAUCCAAUUAUGAGGUUACUCUCUUUUUA
rnacentral:tRNA from 1 species